rnacentral:rRNA from 1 species
UACGUAGGUGGCAAGCGUUAUCCGGAUUUACUGGGUGUAAAGGGCGUGUAGGCGGGAAAGCAAGUCAGAUGUGAAAACCAUGGGCUCAACCUGUGGCCUGCAUUUGAAACUGUUUUUCUUGAGUACCGGAGAGGCAGACGGAAUUCCUAGUGUAGCGGUGAAAUGCGUAGAUAUUAGGAGGAACACCAGUGGCGAAGGCGGCCUGCUGGACUGCAACUGACGUUGAGGCUCGAAGGCGUGGGGAGCAAACAGG